AUCAAGCAGAAGGUUGAUGGCAAAAACAUAACUGGAGGAGUCUUGGCUUAAUGCAGUAACAUGUUUUUGGUGUCUAUGUAUUUGUAUGUAGAUGUAAGUUGUUUGGCUUUCCACUAUCCAGCUGUGUCUCCAUGAACAGUGAGUGCCAUGGAUCCUCCUCUUAUAUUAACAGAGGGAGACUGGACACAGUGUAACCCAGGUAAAGAGACCAGACUCACCAUUACCCAGCUGUGUCUCCAUGAAGAGUGAUGCGUCUAUGAAUGUUCCUCUUAGAUUAAAAGAUGGACAGCCCUCACCUGAACACAGGUAAUAAUGCCUGAACUCUGUUUUUAGGAGUAUACCAAUUGAGGAAAAGUGCAAAGCUUGUCUGUGCAGUAGAUUUCCAGUAUUCUCCCAUGAAACCACUUUCAGGACGUAACCUUUCAUCACUUGUGAGGUACUUUAAACACAUUACAGUUAAGUGUUCUGUCAGAAAAUAUAAUAAUCAUCCUGUCAAGGCAAUUAUUUGAAUGCAAGUAAGCAGGAAAACACAAGGGAAAAGGGGAAACCUCAUUCCAGGCCAUGACAAAAAAAGAAAUUUAAAUACAUUCUCUUCUGAAACGUCACAUUUUAGGACAAACAGCAUAUGAGAUUUUUAGCACAUUAAAUGAAAAUUCUGUAAUUAUCUAACAUGGGUGCAAAAAUAUUUUAGUCACAGGAGCUGAGAGUAAAGAGAAGGAUUUUAAUGAAAGUAUAAAGUGUUUGGUCAGUAUAUUUUCCAAUUUGAACCAUUUGUUUAUGUUCUGCAAUGUCUGUUUAUGUUAAUGAACAUGGACUCGAGAAAUACAGUUGUGGAUAUACAAAAUGUAGAAACUAUUUAGAGCCAGAGGAGGUGAGCAAUAAGAACAAGAAUUUACUAAAAGUGCAACAUAAUGAAUGUUACAGUCCCAGUACAGUAGCUUAUAUUAAAUAUACAAAAUGUAGAAACUAAUUCAUAGAUUAGUUUUCAAUAGAAAAUUAAUGGAAUGUACUGAGAUAAUACAAUUUUCUGAAUAUCUUCAGUCACUGUACAGAAGAUUAUAUUAAUUUCAUGUUCAGUGGCCAAAUCAUGUUUGUUUUCCAGUGUCUGUUAUUGUUAAUGAAAAUGCAAGAAAUAACUAAAUUUGUUGACAUUUUUUGCACAUUGUUGUUCAGUGUAACCCCAGUAAGGAGACCAGACUCACCAUUACCCAGCUAUGCCUCCAUGAAGAGUGAUGCAUCUAUCGAUGUUCAAAGUCAAAGUCAAAGAAGCUUUAUUGUCACUUGAACCAUAUAUAGCAGAUGCAGUACACAGUGAAGUGAGACAACGUUCCUCCUAGUCCAGAGGUGCUACACAUAACACAGACAAAGUACAGUGACGCAGACAAACAUAGAGCUAAACAUAGAGAUAAAAAAAUUAAACUAUAAUUUAAAAAUUAAAAUUAAACUAAAAAAAUUAAACUUUACUUAAAGGCUUGAUCACACUACAAGACUUGCUUUGCUUUGCUGUUCAGACUACAUGACUUCACUGUAUGUGUUUUUGUCCUUGUGGUGUUCACACUACGCCACGCUUCGUAAAUGAUCCACAAGAGGGUGUCGCACACCACACCAUCUGACAACAACUCUUGUCACUCAACGCCGUCCCAAAACCAUGUUUUGUCACGAAAACACACGCGACAGGUGGAUCCGGAAAUGACGCGAGACUUUCGGUAGAGGUUUGUUUUGAAAAUGGACGUUGGCAGGAGUCUCGCUCUAGAUAAAUGUUAAUUUAUUAAAAUAAAUGUUGUGUCCACACUAUUUUUGAAGCCAUGUUGCUGCUGCUUUUCUUCCGGUAACCUCAACUCUGUAGACUUGCUCUCUUAUUGGCUGGAGGUCAUAGCUACAAUUGACACCAUGUGAUGUCGAGUCGGCCGACCGUCCCAGAUAUUUAACAUGCCAGAUAUCUGGAUUUUGUCUGCAAGGUGUCAGCGAUGCAUCAGCGAGCCUCUUUGAUGCGGUGUUGAGUAGUUCACACAUUUGCAGAUCGGGCUUAAAUCGGGCUUAAAUUGGGCUUAAAAUCCUGUAGUGUGAACUAGUCUUUAAUCUCAGCUCUUUAACUGUAUAAAAGACACCUGUCCACAGAAGGAAGCAAUCAAUCAGAUUCCAAACUCUCCAUCAUGGCCAAGACCAAAGAGCUGUCCAUGGAUAUCAGGGACAAGAUUGUAGACCUACACAAGGCUGGAAUGAGCUACAAGACCAUCGCCAAGCAGCUUGGUGAGAAGGUGACAACAGUUGGUGCGAUUAUUCCCAAAUGGAAGAAACACAAAAGGACUGUCAAUCGGGUGAGGACUUCCUCGGUCUGGGGCUCCAUGCAAGAUCUCACCUCAUGGAGUUUCAAUGAUCAUGAGACCGGCGAGGAAUCAGCCCAGAAUUACACUGGAGGAUUUUGUCAAUGAUCUCAGCUGGGACCAUAGUCACCAAGAAAACAAUUGGUAACACACUACACCAUGAAAGACUGAAAUCCAGUAGCGCCCACAAAGUCCUCCUGCUAAAGAAACCACAUGUACAGGCUCAUCUGAAGUUUGCCAGUGAACAUCUGAAUGAGUCAGUGGAGAACUGGGUGAAAGUGUUGUGGUCAAAUGAGACCAAAAUCCAGCUCUUUGGCAUCAACUCAACUCACCAUGUUUGGAGGAGGAGGAAUGCUGCCUAUGACUCCAAGAAGACCAUACCCACUGUCAAACAUGGAGGAGGAAACGUUAUGCUUUGGGGGUGUUUUUCUGCUAAGGGGACAGGACAACUGCACCUCAUCAAAGGGUCGAUGGACGGGGCCAUGUACCGUCAAAUCUUGAGUGAGAACCUCCUUCCCUCAGCCAGGGCAUUGAAAAUGAGUCGUAGAUGGAUAUUGCAGCCUGACAAUGACCCAAAACAUACGGCCAAGGCAACAAAGGAGUGGUUCAAAAAGAAGCACAUUAAGGUCCUGUAGUGGCCUAGCCAGUCUCCAGACCUUAAUCCCAUAGAAAAUCUGUGGAAGGAGCUGAAGGGUCAGCCACAAAACCUUAAUGACUUGGAGAGGAUCUCCAAAGAAGAGUGGGCCCAAAUUCCUUGAGAUGUGAGAUGUGUGCAAACCUGGUGGCCAACUACAAGAAAUAUCUGACGUCUGUGAUUGCCAUCAAGGGUUUGGCACCAAGUACUAACUCAUGUUUUGCAACUCAUGUUAUACACAAUAUAUACACAAUAUACACGUUAUACACAAUAUAUAUAUAUAUAUAUAUAUAUAUAUAUAUAUAUAUAUAUAUAUACACACACACACUAAACAAAGUGGUAUAUACACAUAUAUACACAUAAAUGCAGACAUGAACAUGAAGGGAUGUAUGUGUAUAUGGCAUAUAUUGAGGUGAUCCAGUGUUCACCUCAAAAAAAAUCAUUAAAGUAUCAGGGGGCUCUUCAUUUUUAAAUGCAAGAGGAGGAUCCACAGAUGCAUCACUCUUCAUGGAGACAUAACUGUUGUGCAAGUGAUGAAAAGCAGAGAGAGUCCCGGUAUCUGUUUCAGGUUCUAGGUGUUUCCUGGUUCAGACUCCGAAUGGCCUGCAGGAAGAAGCUCCUCCUCAUUCUCUCUGUGUUUGCCUUCAUGGAGCGGAAGCGCUUCCCUGAAUGCAACAGAAAAAAGAGUCCAUCGUUGGGAUGGCUGAGGUCCUUCACAAUCUUCCUGGCCCUGAUCCGGCACCGCUUGCUGUAGAUGUCCUGUAGGUCAGGGAGCUUGGUGUGGAUGGUCUGGAUACUGUGAAGCAUGCAGUGUACCCAGGACCAGUCUAAAGCAAGCAAUCCAGGAUGUCAACACUCUGAUAGAGGACAAUUUUACAGCUCUGACCCUCAGUGCACAAGAGAUGUGUUAGCAGGGUGGAAAUACACAUUGUUGCUGGCCACAAUGGCAUCUGAGCACAUGUGGAGCAGUUAGUGUUUACAGAUAUAUUCCACUCAAAACUUCCAUCUAGUGCCAUGUACCCCCAUCAUCACCAAGUACUUUGAAAGACUGGUCUUCUCUUCAUCUGAAAUUGUGGCUUCAGCCAUCACUGGUUCCCAAUAAUAUGCUUCUCAUCAUUAGAGAGUUAAGGAAAUAUUACCUCUGUCCAGGUGAGGGCUGUCCAUCUUUUAAUAUAAGAGGAACAUCCAUAGACAAAUCACUCUUCAUGGAGACACAGCUGGGUAAUGGUGGGGGCUCUUCAUUUUUAAAUGCAAGAGGAGGAUCCACAGAUGCAUCACUCUUCAUGGAGACAUAACUGUGUAAUGGUGAGUCUGGUCUCUUUACCUGGGUUACACUGAAC